rnacentral:rRNA from 1 species
GAUGAACGCUGGCGGCGUGCCUAAUACAUGCAAGUCGAGCGAACGGACGAGAAGCUUGCUUCUCUGAUGUUAGCGGCGGACGGGUGAGUAACACGUGGAUAACCUACCUAUAAGACUGGGAUAACUUCGGGAAACCGGAGCUAAUACCGGAUAAUAUUUUGAACCGCAUGGUUCAAAAGUGAAAGACGGUCUUGCUGUCACUUAUAGAUGGAUCCGCGCUGCAUUAGCUAGUUGGUAAGGUAACGGCUUGCCAAGGCAACGAUGCAUAGCCGACCUGAGAGGGUGAUCGGCCACACUGGAACUGAGACACGGUCCAGACUCCUACGGGAGGCAGCAGUAGGGAAUCUUCCGCAAUGGGCGAAAGCCUGACGGAGCAACGCCGCGUGAGUGAUGAAGGUCUUCGGAUCGUAAAACUCUGUUAUUAGGGAAGAACAGAUGUGUAAGUAACUGUGCACAUCUUGACGGUACCUAAUCAGAAAGCCACGGCUAACUACGUG